ACUCAUCUUAUCCAUCAGAGAUGGAUGUAUACAAGGUUCACCGAUUUCUGGAUUUUCUUGCUUGCUUGUUGGAGCAUCCAUGUGCUAAGGCACUAUUGUUGAAGGAGG